rnacentral:rRNA from 1 species
GAUGAACGCUAGCUACAGGCCUAACACAUGCAAGUCGAGCGACCGGCGCCCGGGUGCGUAACACGUAUCCACCCUGCCCUUUACUCGGGGAUAUCCUUUCGAAAGCCACUUUAAUACCCGCUGUCAAGCCUGGGGAUGCGUUCCAUUAGGUUGUUGGUGAGGUAACGGCUCACCAAGCCUUCGAUGGAUAGGGGUGCUGAGAGGAAGGGCCCCGACAGUGGAACUGAGACACGGUCCAAACUCCUACGGGAGGCAGCAGUGAGGAAUAUUGGGCAAUGGGCGUUAGCCUGAACCAGCCAAGUAGCGUGAAGGAUGAAGGGUUAUGGGUCGUAAACUGCUUGUAUAUAAGAAUAGGUAUUAUAUGAAGAAGGAUCGGCUAACUCCGUGCCAGCAGCCGCGGUAAUUC